GACGAACGCUGGCGGCGUGCUUAACACAUGCAAGUCGAACGGAAAGGCCCUGCUUUUGUGGGGUGCUCGAGUGGCGAACGGGUGAGUAACACGUGAGUAACCUGCCCUUGACUUUGGGAUAACUUCAGGAAACUGGGGCUAAUACCGGAUAGGAGCUCCUGCUGCACGGUGGGGGAUGGAAAGUUUCGGCGGUUGGGGAUGGACUCGCGGCUUAUCGGCUUGUUGGUGGGGUAGUGGCUUACCAAGGGUUUGACGGGUAGCCGGCCUGGGAGGGUGACCGGCCACAUUGGGACUGAGAUACGGCGCAGACUCCUACGGGAGGCAGCAGUGGAGAAUAUUGCACAAUGGGCGGAAGCCUGAUGCAGCAACGCCGCGUGCGGGAUGACGGCCUUCGGGUUGUAAACCGCUUUCGCCUGUGACGAAGCGUGAGUGACGGUAAUGGGUAAAGAAGCACCGGCUAACUACGUG
rnacentral:rRNA from 1 species